AACGUAGGGGGCAAGCGUUGCCCGGAUUCACUGGGCGUAAAGCGCGUGUAGGCGGUUCGUUAAGUCGGAUGUGAAAUCUCGAGGCUUAACCUCGAAAUUGCAUCCGAUACUGGCGAACUUGAGGACGGUAGAGGCCGGUGGAAUUCCCGGUGUAACGGUGAAAUGGGUAGAUAUCGGGAGGAACACCAGUGGCGAAGGCGGCCGGCUGGGCCGUUCCUGACGCUGAGACGCGAAAGCCAGGGGAGCGAACCGG
rnacentral:misc_RNA from 1 species